rnacentral:lncRNA from 1 species
GCACCCUGCUCCUUCUCUUUGCCUCCUCAGGUCUAGGGUGAUACUGGGUCCCCAUUGCUGUUGGCCCUGGGUGCUUCCUGGUCCCCUGUUAAUUCUGCCUGCACUGCUGUAGAAGUUCCUUCAUCAAUCCAUCCAAGUGAGAUUGUUUUUCACCAGGAAACUGAUGCACACUUGUGUUUGUACACCUGGAUCAAAAGUGAGGAUAAGAGAACUUGACUACAGCCAGCCAGAAGCAGCCAAGCUUAUGGAAAUGAAGUCCAAAGAAAAAUUCUCACUGGAACCAGCUGGAUUUACCCCUCCCCUGAGGGCUGGUGAGCGCUGGUUGGGGCAGGUGGAAAAUAAAUCACAGAGGAUCCGGAAGCAUUAUAUCCCACCCCUGAAGGGCUUUGGUGACAAUGAAACAACCAGUGAGAGCCCAGCCCGGAGCAGCGCAUCAAAUGCCAAUUUCUCCCUUCAUGCUAAUUAAUGAGAACGUUUUAUAUGCAAGUCAGCCUACUUUUAUUUCUUUAUUUAUUUUACAGAAUUAAUUUUUUAGAAAAGUUUUAAGUUCACACCAAAAUUGAGCAGAAGGUACAGGGAUUUCCCAUAUAUCCCCACACGUGCACAGCCUCCCCCAUUAUCAACAUUCCCCAGUGGAGCGGUGCAUUUCUAACAAUCGAUGAACCUGCACUGACACAUCAUCACCCAGAGGCUACAGUUCACAUCAGGGUUCACUCUUGGCGGUGUACCUUCUAUGGGUUUGGACAAAUGUAUAAUGAUGUGUAUCCGCCCUAUAGUAUCAUACAGAGUAGUUUCACUGCCCGAAGAAUCCUCUGUGCUCUGCCUAUUCAGCCCUUCCUCCCCCUAACCCCUGGCAAUCACUGAUCUUUUUGCUGCCUCCAUAAUUUUGCUUUUUCCAGGUUGUCAUAUUGUUACAAUCACGCCAUAUCUAGCCAUUUCAGUUUGGCUUCUUUCACCUAGUAAUAUGCAUUUAAGCUUCCUCUAUAUCUUUUCAUGGCUUGAUAGCUCAUUUCGUUUUAGUACUAAAUAAUAUUCCGUUAUUUAGAUGUACUACCAUUUGUUUAUCCAUUCACCUACUUGAAGGAC